rnacentral:rRNA from 1 species
GAUGAACGCUGGCGGCGUGCCUAAUACAUGCAAGUCGAGCGAACAGACGAGGAGCUUGCUCCUCUGACGUUAGCGGCGGACGGGUGAGUAACACGUGGAUAACCUACCUAUAAGACUGGGAUAACUUCGGGAAACCGGAGCUAAUACCGGAUAAUAUAUUGAACCGCAUGGUUCAAUAGUGAAAGACGGUUUUGCUGUCACUUAUAGAUGGAUCCGCGCCGCAUUAGCUAGUUGGUAAGGUAACGGCUUACCAAGGCGACGAUGCGUAGCCGACCUGAGAGGGUGAUCGGCCACACUGGAACUGAGACACGGUCCAGACUCCUACGGGAGGCAGCAGUAGGGAACCUUCCGCAAUGGGCGAAAGCCUGACGGAGCAACGCCGCGUGAGUGAUGAAGGUCUUCGGAUCGUAAAACUCUGUUAUUAGGGAAGAACAAAUGUGUAAGUAACAAUGCACGUCUUGACGGUACCUAAUCAGAAAGCCACGGCUAACUACGUG